CGGAUUGCAGCUGCAACUCGACUGCAUGAAGCCGGAAUCGCUAGUAAUCGCGGAUCAGAAUGCCGCGGUGAAUACGUUCCCGGGUCUUGUACACACCGCCCGUCACACCAUGGGAGUCGGAAAUGCCCGAAGCCGGUGGCCUAACCGAUAAGGGAGGAGCCGUCGAAGGCAGGUCUGAUGACUGGGGUGAAGUCGUAACAAGGUAUC
rnacentral:rRNA from 1 species